GUGUAUAGGUGAAAGAUGCAUGGAUCUUCACCAUAAAUCUACAGUUGACACCCAAAUGCAGUGGUUCCCCAGCUUUGCUGUGUGCCAGAAUUGUGAGAGAAACUUGGGAAAAUACAGAUGUCCAGGCCCCACCCAAAAGCAACUGAAUCAGAGACUCCCAGGAAGGGCACCAGAUCACAUAGGAGGAAGUUAUCUCCACAAGGACAAAUAAGUGAAGAAAAGGCUCCCAGUGCUCAGCUGCCUUGUGAAUGACGCCCCUUUAGUCCUGUGGUGCUGCAUUACUUAUGUUUCCCAUCUGCUGCACUUGUUUCCAGGCCAUCUCUGCUCUCCACGCCCUGGGGACCCACUCAGCCCCGUGGAUCGCACCAGCUGCUGCUCUAGUGAUGCCUGCACUCGUGCCCUGGUGAAUGGCCACCACAAGCCCACCAGCCUCCCAGUUCAGGCCAUCAGGAGGGUGCUGACCUGCUGCAGGCCCUGCACUCUCGCUUCUGAGUCAGGCAUCGUUUGCAGCUUUCCUCCGCUGUGCCUGGGACCAGGCAGCAGGCUGGGCUUAUUGUUUCAAGUGGCACCAACUGUAAAAUCACAUGCCAGCUGCACAGCCUGCAUGAGAGACAACAAUUGUAGGGUGAAGACCAGAGGGCACAAGUGCCAAGGCCACUCCAUGGGGACUGUGGGCAGCUACCCAUGACUCCCAGCCGUGGCCAGGCCUCAGUGUCAAUACAGAGAAGGCCCAAAGAAAUAACAAAACACCUGGUCACUCCUGAA